CCUACGGGCUGCAGCAGUGGGGAAUAUUGCACAAUGGGCGCAAGCCUGAUGCAGCCAUGCCGCGUGUGUGAAGAAGGCCUUCGGGUUGUAAAGCACUUUCAGCGGGGAGGAAGGCGAUAAGGUUAAUAACCUUGUCGAUCGACGUUACCCGCAGAAGAAGCACCGGCUAACUCCGUGCCAGCAGCCGCGGUAAUACGGAGGGUGCAAGCGUUAAUCGGAAUUACUGGGCGUAAAGCGCACGCAGGCGGUCUGUCAAGUCGGAUGUGAAAUCCCCGGGCUUAACCUGGGAACUGCAUUCGAAACUGGCAGGCUAGAGUCUUGUAGAGGGGGGUAGAAUCCCAGGUGUAGCGGUGAAAUGCGUAGAGAUCUGGAGGAAUACCGGUGGCGAAGGCGGCCCCCUGGACAAAGACUGACGCUCAGGUGCGAAAGCGUGGGGAGCAAACAGGAUUAGAUACCCCCGUAGUC
rnacentral:rRNA from 1 species